GACGAACGCUGGCGGCGUGCUUAACACAUGCAAGUCGAACGAUGAACCGGUUUCGGCCGGGGAUUAGUGGCGAACGGGUGAGUAACACGUGGGCAAUCUGCCCUGCACUCUGGUAUAAGCCCGGGAAACUGGGUCUAAUACCGGAUACGACACUCCGAUGCAUCUUGGGGUGUGGAAAGUUCCGGCGGUGCAGGAUGAGCCCGCGGCCUAUCAGCUUGUUGGUGGGGUAAUGGCCUACCAAGGCGACGACGGGUAGCCGGCCUGAGAGGGUGACCGGCCACAAUGGGACUGAGACACGGCCCAGAAUACUACGGGAGGCAGCAGUGGGGAAUAUUGCACAAUGGGCGAAAGCCUGAUGCAGCGACGCCGCGUGAGGGAUGACGGCCUUCGGGUUGUAAACCACUUUCAGCAGGGAAGAAGCGAAAGUGACGGUACCUGCAGAAGAAGCACCGGCUAACUACGUG
rnacentral:rRNA from 1 species